GUCGAACGAGAAAGCGGGAGCAAUCUCGCAAGUACAGUGGCGUACGGGUGAGUAACACGUGGAUUAUCUGCCCUUGAGUGGGGAAUAACGCUGGGAAACCGGCGCUAAUACCGCAUAUUUCCGAGAGGGGAAAGCAGCAAUGCGCUGGAAGAGGAGUCCGCGGCUGAUUAGCUAGUUGGCGGGGUAACGGCCCACCAAGGCGAAGAUCGGUAGCCGGCCUGAGAGGGCACACGGCCACACUGGCACUGAAACACGGGCCAGACUCCUACGGGAGGCAGCAGUGGGGAAUCUUGCACAAUGGAGGAAACUCUGAUGCAGCGACGCCGCGUGAGCGAUGAAGCCCUUCGGGGUGUAAAGCUCUUUCGACGGGAACGAUAAUGACGGUACCCGAAGAAGAAGCUGCGGCUAACUACGUGCCAGCAGCCGCGGUAAUACGUAGGCAGCAAGCGUUGUUCGGAAUUACUGGGCGUAAAGAGUGUGUAGGCGGUGUUCUAAGUUUGUCGUGAAAUCUCCCGGCUUAACUGGGAGGGUGCGGCGAAAACUGGAAUGCUAGAGGAUGGGAGAGGUAAGCGGAAUUCCUGGUGUAGCGGUGAAAUGCGUAGAUAUCAGGAGGAACACCUGUGGUGUAGACAGCUUACUGGACCAUUUCUGACGCUGAGACACGAAAGCGUGGGUAGCAAACAGGAUUAGAUACCCUGGUAGUCCACGCCCUAAACGAUGCAUACUUGGUGUGAGCGAUUCAUUUCGUUCGUGCCGGAGCUAACGCGUUAAGUAUGCC
rnacentral:rRNA from 1 species